ACCAAUGUAAGACAAUUCACCUGCAGCGAAAGCUCACUCUCAUGUAAGGGUUGACAACAAUGUGAUGGAAAGUAGUGGUUAAUUAAACUCAAGAUAAUAGAAGACUAUGUGUCAAACUUGCAAGAUGAUAUUAUUAUGAUAGUUGGAAGCAUUCAGAAUAGCAAGAUCAAUAUGUGAGAGUAUCCAACACCUAAUAUUAUCAUCUUGUAAGUUUGAUACAUAGUUUUUCAUUAUUUUUUUAGUUUGACUACUAAUUUCUAUGGCAUUACCAAAUAACUCGUGUGUGAGUGAGCUUUCGGUGUCGGUGAAUUGCCCUACAUUGCU
rnacentral:pre_miRNA from 1 species